UACAGAGGGUGCGAGCGUUGUCCGGAAUCACUGGGCGUAAAGGGCGCGUAGGUGGUGGCUUAAGCGUGCGGUGAAAGCUCGGGGCUCAACCCCGAGUCGGCCGUGCGAACUGGGCUCACUGGAGCAUAGUAGAGGCAGGUGGAAUUCCGGGUGUAGCGGUGGAAUGCGUAGAGAUCCGGAAGAACACCGGUGGCGAAGGCGGCCUGCUGGGCUAUGGCUGACACUGAGGCGCGACAGCGUGGGGAGCAAACAGA
rnacentral:rRNA from 1 species